AUGGGCUUUCGCGGUCCGAGAUUUGCAUAAGAAAUACUCUGUACUGGCCUGAUGGCACAAGGAGGAGCUCCUCCAAAUUCUGUCCAAACCGCCGCAAUAUCAUACUGCUGGUUCAUUCGUUACUCGACAAAUACAAUGAGGAUCACAAUCUUUUGGGGGAUCUUGCAUAUAAACUUGAAGAUGUCGUGACCUACGGAGAAAUUUACGAGAAGACCAGAUGUCGUAAUGUGUUCUAUCACAUCAAUUUUUCAAUAAAACCCAACGGAGCUAAUGGUUUUGGCGACGACAAUCUAUUCUUUGCUGAAGUCACUUGCAUGGACGGAGAAAAUGAAGAAUAUGUGCUAGACUGUUUAUAUAUGGUUAAAUCUAAUGACAAAGGUCGAUGCUACGAUUGUGAGAAUAAUGGAAGUGUUGAUUUGAGGCACCCCAAUGAUGCUCAUAAGUACAAACGUGGCCACACUAAGCCAUACCCACGGUGUUGUGGUUUUAAUUUUCUACCACCAGAAAUGUUGGGUGAUUUACGCACAUACGAUGAUGAGGAGGCUAUGCUUGCAGCUGAGGAGACUAGUAUAAGACACAUA